ensembl:snoRNA LOC120094939 small nucleolar RNA SNORA17
UCUGUCACAUAUUCAUCAGUAGAUGGCAGUAAAAAGAGGUUAUAGCUAUACCCAGUGCUCUGACCUAUGAACAUCUGAAUGAUUAGUAGCUUACACU